ensembl:lncRNA
UUUGUUUUUAUUCAGUGCACAGCUUUGCUGUACAUAUUAAACUGUCUUCAUCCCAACCCAUCAUACUUCUUACUUUACAACUCUCCAGGUUUCUUCCUUAUUAUGCAGGAGAAAAGAGAGUGACAGUUGUGAGGUGCAACAGCAAAACUGAUCUUUGGAUAGAAAAUUUUGAGCUUUCCUGCAUUAGUGAAAAGUCUUAACUUUUCCUGGAAAGUUUGAUAAAAUAAGAUGUCUGGAUGGAGAGCACAUAAAAAUGGCAGAAAAGGCUGUCAUAAUUACUUUACAGAAGAAAGUUCAAACAUGCUUUGGCAGUAAGCAGAACAUCCUCUGCACUAAAUAUGAUGAUUAGAUUUGGGCUAGUUUCCUUUUUCUUUACAUGGCUUUAAAGUUAUGUAACUUGAAAUUUUAUAUUUCUUCAGCACUUUGCGAGUCUGUAAUGUGAAUGCAUAAGACUAUAAGAGCUUGUAAAUGUUGAAAAAAAUGUACUUUAUAAUUUUAUGGAUUAAGAAUCAGAUCCUUAUCUGCUGGAAAUAGACAUAAGUGCAUCAGCCCAACACAUAUCAGAAUUUUGGAAAAAAGUUUCCCUCUCUGCUCAUUUCAGUUCAGACACAAAAUUCCUCUUUCAGAAUUCUGCCAGUAGAUGUCAGUGUCAAUCUACCUAACAAUAUUGCUCCAGCAAGUGCUUAGACCACAGUCAUCUUCAACAACUCCCUCUUGUAAAAGCCUUCCUUGAUUCUGCAUAUAACAAUCUUCUCUUUUUCUUUUUUUCUUUUUCUUUUUCUUUUUUCCUUUUUCCUUUUCUUUUUCUUUUUUCCCUUCUCUACAGAAUUUCACCUUUUGAAGUGUUUAUAAUGACAGCAUUUUAUUGUUUGUUGCAAUUGGAGCAUGGAAUACUUUCAAGGAUCAAGAAUUCUGUAAAGUUUGUAAGAUGUGUGCCUUUCCCCAAAUUAAAUCCUUCAUAUACAUCUCUUGGCUCUCUUUUUAAUUUAUACAAGUGAUUAAUUUACUGUUACGCAGGUACUGACAUAAUGAGUCACCAAUGUGCAAAGUCUUCUAUGUGGCCAGCAAAAAAUUCAUGAGAUUUAACUGCACCCUGCAUUUUCACUUUUGUGUUUCUACUCUGGGACACCCACAGCAGCAGUUUAGUUCUUACUAAUACUACAACCCCAACUGGAAGUAUGACUGUUUUUUGGAGAGGUGCUUUUACCACCAUUUUGGAAUGGGAAUGUUCUAGAAAAUUAUAACACAUCCAAAGACAGAAGAACAGCUCCAUGAGGCUUAAUUUACAAAUGAACCUAACGUAAGUAAGGAAAAUGAUGCUAAUGUAAAUUUUUAUGCAUUAAUUAAAAUGAAAAGCUGUUGAAUCUUCAAAAAUAUGAUAAUCAGCACACCAGCAAGCUAUUGUUAUGAGAGUCUCCCAAACCUAAAAGAGAAAAAAAUAACAGUAAUGGAGAAGAUGAGAAAACUCAUAGCUUGUAGAGUCUCGAGACAAGCAAUUAUGGGUGAGUAGGGAAAAUAAACUUCUCUUUUAAAUAAAAUCCAUUAAAAAAGUAGAAGCUUUUGAUGUUUUAUUUAUUAGUUUGGGCUUUUUGUGUUUUAAUUUACGCUAUUCUGAAACUGUUUGAGAUGGGGGAGAUACUACAGGGUACUUUUGACUUCUACCAUGAUUUCUUUAUAUUCCUUACUGGCAUUUAGAGAAUAAACUAGAAUGGAUAUUUAUAAGGAAAAAACUAUUCUCUUUAAGAAUACAGUUUUUCAGAUGGUCUUUUAUAAAAAGUUUUGUUAAGUCAAAAAUGAGAUGGGAUAUACAAUUUAGUACUUGAACUAACCAAUACAGAAUGUAUAUAUAUAUACAUAUUCUCUAUAAAUUGCUUAAUUGUCCACAAAGAUUUAUUGCAGAAACUGAGAUGGGUCUUAGUCAUUUUGCUUUAUUUUGGUUUGCUUUGGUUUGUUUUGAUUUUCCACAAAGGUUAAUCAAUAAUCACUGUCUAGCCAAAUAAGCAGUGCAUUACACACAUAAACAAAAAACAAUAAACCAAUGUUUUGUGAUCUAAUCAUGAAGAAAUAACAGGAUGCAAAAGGGCCUAUUUUAAUUACGUUGUACAUUUUCUGUAUAACAAUGUUUUUUUUUGGUUAGAUAAGUACUUUUGCACUCUAGUGUGGAUUUCAACUGGUCAACUGCUCAACUGUGUAAGAUUGCAGUUUUUGUCCAUGUCCAUGUCACUGUGCCUUUACAGGAACAGCUUAAAGCAAGAAGGUAGAGCAUAAAGACUUCUUUAUGGUGGCAAAACAGCAUUGAAAGGAGUACUAGUGCAAUGAAAGGAAAAAUUUCACUCAGUACACUCAGUUUGCAGCUGCUACAUGGCAUCAUGUCUUAUAACUAGCAAAUUAUAUAUUAAAUAUCUCCUGUGGAAAAUCCUUAUUCAAUACAGGUUAUAGAAAGGGCUUUAAAAAUACUUCAUUCAUUUACUCUGUUUAGCCAGGGCUGUUUGUAAUAGGAAAAUUGAUACAACUAAAGCUGUUGUUAGCCAGUCAAUUCAGUUCAGUGACCCAGGUUUACUAUGCUUUUGGUUUCAGAGACUUUGUUUUAUAUGACAAUCUUUUUUUUAUAAAAGAGGAGGAAGAGAAAUUGCCUCAAUUACAAAUUAAAAUAAUUCAAGCAACUUAAGCCUUCAAGCUAAAUUCUGCAUAGUACCUUUACUUUUCCCUGUGGCUUACCCCUUCAUCUGUAAGUACAGAAUCAGCAUUUAGAUCCUCAAGUUUUUAUAUCUGUUUCUGGAUGCGUUGGGGCCAACAAUAAGGAACUGCAAGGACAACUCAGCAGCUACUGGUGAUGCCUGGAUUUGGGUGAGUGAAACUCACUGCCAGUUACUUCAGUGAGUGAGGGUCCUAAUGCCAGUAGUUGGAGGGACCAUAUCUCUGGAUCUGAGACAGUCCUACAGACUUGGACUCCAAAGUGCAAGCUACUAUGUGACCAGUGUGAGUGAACUGGAUGCAAGCUACUGCAGUCAGACUGAGGGUGUAGGUACCCCCAGCUUGUGGUGUUAAGUACUGGAAUGAGCUGGGUUCCCUACUCCCUACUCCAUGGCAUAGUUGCAUCAGAAGAAGGUGACUAGCUUCACAUUCUCUCUGUGAAUUGGCUUCCACAGUGAGUCUGAAAGUUGCAUUCCAGCACACCACAAUUUCUGUUGCUGGAGGGCUUCACAUGUGGCAGCCAGGACGACAGUGUGAGCAGUCCAUCCUAACAUCCUGGCACGUAUUUCCAACAGGUUCAGGUAAUGCUCUUCCAUCAGGUAAUGUUCCAUGGCCCAAAACAAGGAUCAUAGAUUGUUUCUGUUUACAUUGUCUUCCUGGCCAUGGCUUAUUGUGCUCGUCACUAUGUGCACUGCACUCAGCUCUUGGUCAAAGCAAGGUCAUCAAAAUACCACAUCAGCAGAGAACAUCACUAAAAAUCCUGAGUAUUAGGAGAACCAGUGACAAGGACCUAUCGUAACACCAUUAUUCUGUAGAUAAGAAGAUGGAAAAGCAACUAGAAGACAUUGAAGGGUUUUACACACUGUAGUAUAGACAGACUUUGAAAAUAAGCACAUAGAACUGGAAAAAAAAAUUCAAAUAAGUUGUCACAUGUUGACAACAGUAAACGUAAUCAGAUUUCUUUGCAAUCUCAAAUGUUGGUUAUUUAAGUAUUCAGAGAGAGAACUGUCAUUUACUGAAAUUUAUCUUAAAUGUAAGCACCAAAGUAGAACUGAGCCAUUAAAAAAUUGCUAUCCAUUUUGUAUGAUGAAUAUUAGACAAGCUGUCUGACAAUAUGUGACUCUUGCCAAAUUGAAUUUCACAAACAUGGCAAUCAGACUCAUUGUAGUUAAGUAUUAGUUUGCAUUUGAAUGCAUUUUUUUCAUUGAGUUAAAAAAAACUCUGUCAGAGCAUUUAUUUUUGGGCGGUGGCAACCAUCAGUCCAGAAUAAUAAUGUUUCAUGGAGGAUAAAUCUAAAUAAAAUUAUGACAUAAGUUUUGACAAAAAUUAAUAAGCAGUGUCUUCUAUUCAACUUGCAUAAAAUUAAUAGGAACUGUCUGACCCAAUUAUGACCCACCUUGAGUUUGAAACUGUUUUCCUUUCCUUUAUUCUUCAGUCUUUUAAACUUGUUCCAUGACAUUUUGCUAGUAACUGCAGGAACCUGUGGAGCUGAUUAUAUAAAUUGCUUGCUCAUUUUAUAUUCAUCUCUCUUGUGUAUCUUGAGGCAACAGAUGAUAUUUUUGAAGAUUAAUGAAUAAACAACCAGCUAGUACUGGCUGAGU